CCCUCUUAAGUUUGCAAUACCUGACACCUCCUCCCUAUUCCCUAAGAGCUAUCGAGUCAUGCCAUCCUUACAAAAAAAGCCAUCCACAGACUUCGGAGUGUUGUUCAUGAGUAUUGGUGUUGUGUUGGUUUCCUUAUCAUCUUCUUUUGUGACUGCUGCUGCUGCUGCUGCUAGAGAUGAAGUGGGCAAAGAAUGGAAGGAAGCAGAAGCUCUUCUUAAAUGGAAAGCCAGUCUUGACAACCAGAGCCAAUCCCUCCUACCUUCUUGGGGUGGAGGAGGCCGAGGCCACCCAUGCAACUGGGUUGGAAUUGCCUGCGAUGAGUCGGGAAGCGUCACCCAUCUAAACCUUUCGAGUGUUGGUUUGAGAGGUACGCUUUACAAACUCAGUUUCUCAUCCUUUACCAACCUCCUCACUAUUGAUCUAUCAAGUAACUCGCUUUAUGGAAAUAUUCCCGACCAAAUUGGUAACAUUUCCAAACUCACCAAUCUCAACUUGGCUUUUAAUAAUCUUAGUGGUCCCAUCCCUACUUCUAUAGGAAAUUUGAGCAACUUAUCGGGACUUUUCCUUCACGAAAACUACCUUUCAGGAUCUCUUCCUCCAGAAAUUGGGAAACUGCAAAACCUAGGCCUACUAUUCCUCGCAACCAACAAUCUCUCUGGUUCCAUACCUCAAGUAGUUGGAACAACGAGAUAUCUCUGGCAUCUUGAUUUGUCAAAUAAUUUUUUCACCGGUGCAAUCCCCACUUCCAUAGGAAACUUGAGCAACUUGGGAUAUCUUUUCCUUUAUGGGAACCAGCUCACGGGUUCCAUCCCUGAGGAACUUGGAUCGCUUAGAUAUCUGAAAGUAUUUCAAUUAAUAGGAAAUAAUCUAUCUGGUGCAAUCCCUGCUUCCAUAGGAAAUAUGGCCAACUUGGUUGAUCUUCAAUUGUCAGAAAAUUUUUUCACCGGUGCAAUCCCUGCUUCCAUAGGAAACUUGAGCAACUUAGAAAUUCUUUACCUUUUUGAGAACCAGCUUACGGGUUCCAUCCCUGCUUCCAUAGGAAAUAUGGCCAACUUGGUUGAUCUUCAAUUUUACAUCAACAAUCUUUCUAGUUCAAUUCCAAUCACUAUUGGAAAUUUGACAAAGCUCACCUAUUUAGGUUUGUUUACAAACAAACUAAUUGGUUCCCUCCCACAGGAAAUAAACAACCUUACCAAUUUGAGAAUUUUGCAACUCGGUGAAAACAAAUUUACCGGCCAUUUACCUCAACAUUUAUGCCGUGGUGGAUCGCUUGAAAAAAUUUCAGUCAAGAAUAACCAUUUUACAGGUCCCAUCCCAAAAACUUUGAAAAACUGCAGUAGCCUAUUUAGAGUUAGGCUUGACAGAAACCAACUAAUAGGAAAUAUAACUGAAGCCUUAGGAAUUUACCCGAACUUAAACUAUAUCGAUUUGAGUGACAAUCACUUGUAUGGCGAGCUUUCAUCAAAGUGGGGGCAAUGCCGUAAUUUGACAAGCCUAAAAGUGUCCAACAAUAAUAUCUCUGGUAGUAUGCCACCUGGGCUCAGUGAGGCAAGUCAACUAGUUGUGCUCGACCUCUCAUCAAAUCAUCUAACAGGGAAAAUUCCGAAGGAAUUCGGGCGCUUGAAGUCAUUGCUCAAACUUCUAUUGAACAAUAACAAACUUUCAGGUAACAUUCCUUCAGAAAUUGGAAUGUUAUCCCAUAUUAUGGAGUUGAACCUAGCAGCUAACAAUCUAAGCGGUUUGAUCCCUAAACAACUUGGAGAGUGCUCAGAAUUAUUAUUCUAGAAUUUGAGCAGAAAUAUACUCGUGGGAAGAAUUCCUUCAGAUAUAGGAAGCCUGAAAUUUCUUCAAAAUCUUGAUCUUAGUUGGAAUACGCUAAUGGGAGAGAUACCACCACAGCUUAGAGACUUGCCUCGGUUAGAAAUAUUGAAUGUCUCUCACAAUAAUCUCUCUGGCUCCAUGCCAUCCACUUUUGAAGAUAUUUCAAGCUUGACAUCCAUUGAUAUAUCCUACAAUGAGUUAGAGGGUCCUAUUCCCAACAUUAAAGCCUUCCGCGAGGCUCCAUAUGAAGCAUUUCAAAAUAAUAAAGGCUUGUGCGGUAAUGCCACUGGUUUGAGGGCUUGCCAAAAAAUGAUUCAUAAUCCUUCACGUAAAAGGUGCAACAAAUUUGUAUUAAAAAUUCUAAUUCCUGUUUUGGCCAGUAUAUUUCCGAUAUUUAUUAUUGUUGGAGUUCUACUUAUUAGUUGCCAAAGAGUGAGGAAUACAGAAGCCAAGCCAAGAGACAUACAAAAUGAUGAUGUUUUUGCAAUAUGGAGCUUUGAUGGGAAAAUGGUAUAUGAGAACAUCAUUGAAGCUACAGAGGAAUUCGAUUCCAAAUAUUGCAUUGGUGUAGGAGGAUACGGAAGUGUGUACAAAGCUGAGUUGCCAACAAGUCAAGUUGUUGCUGUGAAGAAACUUCAUCCAUUACCCAAUGGCGAGGAAUCCAAUCAAAAAACCUUCAUAAGUGAGAUUCAUGCCUUUACAGAAAUAAGACAUCGUAACAUUGUGAAGUUUUAUGGUUUUUGUUCACAUCCACAGCACUCACUUCUGAUUUAUGAAUAUUUGGAAGGAGGAAGCUUGGUACAUUUACUAAACAAUGAGGAACAAGCAAAAGCAUUUGACUGGAUCAAGAGGGGUAAUGUUGUCAAAGAUGUGGCGAAUGCUUUAUCUUACAUGCACCAUGAUUGCUCGCUUCCUAUAAUCCAUCGAGAUAUAUCAAGCAAAAAUGUGUUACUAGAUCUCGAAUGUGUGGCUCACAUUUCUGACUUUGGCACUGCAAGACUUUUGAAGCCUGAUUCAUCCAAUAGGACUUCACUCGCUGGCACCAUGGGGUACAUGGCCCCAGAACUUGCAUACACAAUGGAAAUCAAUGAGAAGUGCGAUGUUUAUAGUUUUGGAGUGUUGGCAUUAGAAAUAAUCAUGGGAAAGCAUCCCGGAGAUCUCAUUUCAUCUCUAUCAUCAUCACUCCCAUCCUCAUCAACAUUCACAACUCAUAUGCCAUUGAACAAUGUGUUGGACCAACGCCUUUCACUCCCUACCAACAAAGUUGCAAGUGAUGUGCUCUCCAUUGCAAAGAUUGCGAUUGCUUGCUUACAAACCAUUCCACAAUCUCGUCCAACAAUGAAACAAGUUUCUCAAGACCUGUCAACUCGGAAACCACAUCUGGCAAAGCCAUUACACAUGAUCACUUUAGGAGAAGUAGUUGAUGUCAGAGGCUUGACUAUCUAAUUGUUUGUUUUCUUCAUGUUCACCUUCUUGUUUAUGAAUUAUGAAUUGUGACUCCUCUUUUUUCUCUUUUUCACUUUUACUUUUCUCCUCUGUACUUUGCUUUGUUGUAUUGUGUCUAAUUGGCAAGAUUCUAAAUACAAAAUAGUAUACAUCAAAAUGCAAAAUUGAGAAUUCCAUCAAUAAAAAAUCAGAAAGGGUAU